UACAGAGGUCUCAAGCGUUGUUCGGAUUCAUUGGGCGUAAAGGGUGUGUAGGUGGCGCGCUAAGUCGGGUGUGAAAUUUCGGAGCUUAACUCCGAAACUGCAUUCGAUACUGGCGUGCUUGAGGACUGGAGAGGAGACUGGAAUUCCUGGUGUAGCGGUGAAAUGCGCAGAUAUCAGGAGGAACACCGAUGGCGAAGGCAGGUCUCUGGGCCACUACUGACGCUGAGAAGCGAAAGCAUGGGGAGCGAACAGG
rnacentral:rRNA from 1 species